AUGGCUUCCUCCAGCUCCUCCAACCCUACCCUCUCUGGCCAAGUCACCGAGCGUCUCACGCGCACCAACUACAUCCUAUGGCGUACCCAGAUCACGCCACAACUCCGCGGUGCUGGCUUCUUCGGGUACGUGGACGGGAGCAUGGUGGAACCAGCCAAGGUCAUCGUCUCCAAGGACAAAGAUGGCAAGGAGGAGACCACCCCGAAUCCUCUACAUCAACUUUGGACCAGGGAAGACAAGCAGGUACUGGGUUAUCUUCUGAAUAAUCUGUCCAAAGAAGUACGCAUA
rnacentral:rRNA from 1 species